UACGUAGGUGGCAAGCGUUGUCCGGAAUUAUUGGGCGUAAAGCGCGCGCAGGCGGUUUCUUAAGUCUGAUGUGAAAGCCCACGGCUUAACCGUGGAAGGUCAUUGGAAACUGGGAGACUUGAGUGCAGAAGAGAAGAGCGGAAUUCCACGUGUAGCGGUGAAAUGCGUAGAGAUGUGGAGGAACACCGGUGGCGAAGGCGGCUCACUGGCUCAUUACUGACGCUCAGGCGCGAUAGCGUGGGGAUCAAACAGG
rnacentral:rRNA from 1 species